UUCCUUGAACCGCAUGGUUCAAGGAUGAAAGACGGUUUCGGCUGUCACUUACAGAUGGACCCGCGGCGCAUUAGCUAGUUGGUGGGGUAAUGGCUCACCAAGGCGACGAUGCGUAGCCGACCUGAGAGGGUGAUCGGCCACACUGGGACUGAGACACGGCCCAGACUCCUACGGGAGGCAGCAGUAGGGAAUCUUCCGCAAUGGACGAAAGUCUGACGGAGCAACGCCGCGUGAGUGAUGAAGGUUUUCGGAUCGUAAAGCUCUGUUGUUAGGGAAGAACAAGUGCGAGAGUAACUGCUCGCACCUUGACGGUACCUAACCAGAAAGCCACGGCUAACUACGUGCCAGCAGCCGCGGUAAUACGUAUGUGGCAAGCGUUGUCCGGGAAUUAUUGGGCGUAAAGGGCUCGCAGGCGGUUUCUUAAGUCUGAUGUGAAAGCCCCCGGCUCAACCGGGGAGGGUCAUUGGAAACUGGGAAACUUGAGUGCAGAAGAGGAAGAGGGGAAUUCCACGUUGUAGCGGGUGAAAUGCGUAAAGAAUUGUGGAGGAACCACCAGUGUGGCGAAGGCGACUCUCUCUGGUCUGUAACUGACCGCU
rnacentral:rRNA from 1 species